rnacentral:rRNA from 1 species
GGUUAGUACUUGGACGGGUGACCGCCUGGGAAUGCU